rnacentral:lncRNA from 1 species
GCUUAAGGUGGUGAAAAAACAUGCAGACACACUGAUACACACACACAUUCACAUGCAUCACACACCACACUAAAAUCCUCUGUCUGCAAGAUGCUGAAUAUGCAGAACACACACUUAACCACCCAACUGUAACACAUGAUUAUAACCAGAUGUGAAACUAACACUGGUAGUUUGUGGUUUCCUCAUAACUUCCUCCCUGUCAGGAGACGGCGCCCUGCAUCAGCUACUUCACAACCAGAGAAUACACUCCACUUAUUGAAUGGAACUGUGUUGGUAGUGUUUUGCCUUAUUAGUGUGGUAUUCACCUGUCUGUGAGGGACAAGUAGUACCUGCGAGGGACGGACGUAUUCCUGCUGUGUGGGACAAGUAUUCCUGUCGUGAGAAACAAGUAUCCCUGUCUGUGAGAAACAAUAUUCACGUGUCUGUGAGACAAUUUUCACCUGUCCGGAUGGGGACAGGUAUCACCUGUCUGUGAGGGACGGGAACAGGAUUCACCUCUCUGUGUGGGACAGGUAUUCACCUGUCUGUGAGGGACAGGUAUUUCACCGUCUGGUGAGGGACGGGACAGGUAUUCACCUCUCGGUGUGGGACAGUAUCACCUGUCUGUGUGGGACAGGUUCACCUGUCUGUGAGGGACAGUAUUCACUCUCUGUGUGUCUCCCUCCAGGAGAGGGACAGGUAUUCACCUCUGCUGUGUGUUCUCCUCAGGAGAGGGAACAGGUAUUCACCGGUCUGUGAGGGACAGGUAUCAAUCUCUGUGUGUUCUCCCUCAGGAGAGGACGGUAUUCACCGGUCUGUGAGGGACAGGUAUUCACCUCUCUGUGUGUUCUCCCUCCAGGAGAGGGGCCAGGUAUUUACCUCUCUGUGUGUUCUCCCUCCAGGAGAGGGACAGGUAUUCACCUCUGUCGUGUGUUCUCCCCCCAGGAGAUGGGACGGUAUUCACCGGUCUGUGGAGGGACAGGUAUCACCCUCAAUGUGUGUUCUCCCUCCAGGAGAGGGACAGGUAUUCACCUCAUGUGUGUUCUCCUCCCUCCAGGAGAGGACAGGUAUCACCUCUGUGUGUUCUCCCUCCAGGAGGGGAUGUAUUACCUCUCUGUUGUUCUCCUCCAGGAGAGGGACAGGUAUUCACCUCUCUGUGUGUCUCCUCCAGGAGAGGGACAGGUAUCACCUCAAUGUGUGUUCUCCUCCAGGAGAGGACAGGUAUUCACCUCUCUGUGCUUCUCCCUCGGAGGAGGGACAGGUAUUACCUCUCUGUGUGUUUCCCCUCCCGGAGAGGGACAGGUAUUCACCUCUCUGUGUGUUCUCCUCCGGAGAGGGACAGGUAAUUACCUCUCUGUGUGUUCUUCCCUCCAGGAGAGGGACAGUGUAUUCACCUCUCUGUGUGUUCUCCCUCCAGAGAGGGACAGGUAUUUACCAUCCUGUGUGUUCUCCCUCCAGGAGAGGGACAGGUACUUCAUCUAUCGUGUGUUCUCCCUCUAGGAGAGGGACAGUAUUCAUCUCUCUGUGUGUUCUCCCUCCAGGAGAGGGACAGGUAUUUACCAUCUCUGUGUGUUCUCCCUCCAGGAGAGGGACAGGUAUGCCUACAAGAUCCACCUGCCAGAGACGGUGGAGCAGCUGAGGAAGUUUAAUUUAAUGCAAGGAGGAAGCUCAAGGUACACACACACACACCAUUGAUCUCUUCAAUCAAUCAGUCAAUACAUCCUGUUCCUUGUGUUUUUUUAGGGGGCAGUGUUGGCUGCUGUCUCCAGCCACAAGUUUAACUCCUUCUACGGAGACCCACCAGAGGAGAUGCCAGACUUCUCUGAAGACCCCACCUCCAGUAACCCGCCCCUCUCCCCUUCUGUUUGCCUUCCCACGUACAACACCCAUGCCGAGCUGUGUCAGGGGAACGGAUGUCACGGCAACAAUCGCCACGUGUUUGUGUUCCUAGCUCAUUGUCCCACGGGCAGUCCGAAGCACACCCCUGACGA